rnacentral:rRNA from 1 species
GAACGGGUGAGUAACGCGUGAGUAACCUGCCUCAUACAACGGGAUACCUGAGGGAAACUUCAGUUAAUACGGUAUAAGACCACACUGCCGCAUGGCAGAGGGGUAAAAGGAGCAAUCCGGUAUGAGAUGGACUCGCGUCGCAUUAGCUAGUUGGUGAGGUAACGGCCCACCAAGGCGACGAUGCGUAGCCGACCUGAGAGGGUGAUCGGCCACAUUGGGACUGAGAUACGGCCCAGACUCCUACGGGAGGCAGCAGUGGGGAAUAUUGGGCAAUGGAGGAAACUCUGACCCAGCAAUGCCGCGUGAAUGAAGAAGGUCUUCGGAUUGUAAAGUUCUUUAGUCAGGGAAGAAAAAAAUGACGGUACCUGAAGAAUAAGCUCCGGCUAACUACGUGCCAGCAGCCGCGGUAAUACGUAGGGAGCAAGCGUUGUUCGGAAUGACUGGGCGUAAAGGGUGCGUAGGCGGUUAUACAAGUUAGAAGUGAAAUACCCAGGGCUUAACUCGGGUGCUGCUUCUAAAACUGUAAGACUUGAGUACAGUAGAGGUUAGUGGAAUUCCUAGUGUAGCGGUGGAAUGCGUAGAUAUUAGGAGGAACACCAGAGGCGAAGGCGGCUAACUGGACUGAAACUGACGCUGAGGCACGAAAGUGUGGGGAGCAAACAGGAUUAGAUACCCUG